rnacentral:rRNA from 1 species
UACAGAGGUGGCAAGCGUUGUUCGGAAUCACUGGGCGUAAAGGGCGUGUAGGCGGUUGAGUAAGUGGAAUGUGAAAUGCCCCGGCUCACCCGGGGACCGGCAUUCCAUACUGCUCAGCUCGAGUAUGGGAGAGGAUGAGGGAAUUCCUGGUGUAGCGGUGAAAUGCGUAGAUAUCAGGAGGAACACCGGUGGCGAAAGCGCUCAUCUGGCCCAAUACUGACGCUGAGGCGCGAAAGCUAGGGGAGCAAACGGG